rnacentral:rRNA from 1 species
UGCCAGCCGCCGCGGUAAGACGAGUAGUGCAAGCGUUGUUCGGAAUCACUGGGCAUAGAGGGUGCGUAGGCGGCCCUGUAAGUCAGUUGUGAAAUCCCACGGCCCAACCGUGGCAUUGCAAUUGAUACUGCAGGGCUUGAGGUCGAAAGAGGCAAGUGGAAUUUCAGGUGUAGCGGUGGAAUGCGUAGAUAUCUGAGAGAACGCCAAAGGCGAAGGCAGCUUGCUGGGUCGAAUCUGACGCUGAGGCACGAAAGCUAGGGGAGCGAACAGGAUUAGAUA